CCUGUCAGUGCUUUGCAGUCCGCUCUCUGGGCUGGGUAGAGGUACCUGAAGAGGACCUGGCACCGGGGAAGAGCAGUAUUGCAGUCAAUAACUGUAUCCAGCAGCUGGCCCAGACCCGCAGCCGGAGCCAGCCUCCAGAUGGUGCCUGGGGUGAGGGCCAGAACAUGCUGAUGAUCCUGAAGAAGAAUGCCAUGAGCCUAGUGAAUCCCCUGGACCACAGUCUGAUCCACUGCCAGCCUCUGGUGCACAUCCGUGUGUGGGGCGUGGGGAGCUCCAAAGGCCGAUCCUCUGAUGUGGACCCAGGACUGCUUCCCCUGCCUGGUCCAGCCCUGGUUGGGGAGGGUGGGCCCAGCUCAGCAGGGACAGAUGGGGGAGAGUCCGAGAGGCUGGGCUGAUUCCCUUCUGUGCUCCCACAUGCUUCCGGAACAGUGACAGGUGAGUGAAAACCAGGUAUCCUGAGCCCCAUCCCUGACGUCCCUACUCCAUCCCUGCUAUAUCCCUAGCCUGACUUUCCAGCCUCCUGCAGGCUCCUGCCUCUAACCAGCCUCUACCCCAGCCCCAUCUCUGCCCCUGCUAGGGACUUCGCUUUUGUGGCAAGUGACAAAGAUAGCUGUAUGCUCAAGUGCCAUGUGUUUC
rnacentral:sRNA from 1 species